ACAUGCAGUCGAGCGAAUCGAUGGGAGCUUGCUCCCUGAGAUUAGCGGCGGACGGGUGAGUAACACGUGGGCAACCUGCCUAUAAGACUGGGAUAACUUCGGGAAACCGGAGCUAAUACCGGAUACCUUCUUUCUCGCAUGAGAGAAGAUGGAAAGACGGUUUACGCUGUCACUUAUAGAUGGGCCCGCGGCGCAUUAGCUAGUUGGUGAGGUAAUGGCUCACCAAGGCGACGAUGCGUAGCCGACCUGAGAGGGUGAUCGGCCACACUGGGACUGAGACACGGCCCAGACUCCUACGGGAGGCAGCAGUAGGGAAUCUUCCGCAAUGGACGAAAGUCUGACGGAGCAACGCCGCGUGAACGAAGAAGGCCUUCGGGUCGUAAAGUUCUGUUGUUAGGGAAGAACAAGUACCAGAGUAACUGCUGGUACCUUGACGGUACCUAACCAGAAAGCCACGGCUAACUACGUGCCAGCAGCCGCGGUAAUACGUAGGUGGCAAGCGUUGUCCGGAAUUAUUGGGCGUAAAGCGCGCGCAGGUGGUUCCUUAAGUCUGAUGUGAAAGCCCACGGCUCAACCGUGGAGGGUCAUUGGAAACUGGGGAACUUGAGUGCAGAAGAGGAAAGUGGAAUUCCAAGUGUAGCGGUGAAAUGCGUAGAGAUUUGGAGGAACACCAGUGGCGAAGGCGACUUUCUGGUCUGUAACUGACACUGAGGCGCGAAAGCGUGGGGAGCAAACAGGAUUAGAUACCCUGGUAGUCCACGCCGUAAACGAUGAGUGCUAAGUGUUAGAGGGUUUCCGCCCUUUAGUGCUGCAGCUAACGCAUUAAGCACUCCGCCUGGGGAGUACGGCCGCAAGGCUGAAACUCAAAGGAAUUGACGGGGGCCCGCACAAGCGGUGGAGCCAGGUGGUUUAAUUCGAAGCAACGCGAAGAACCUUACCAGGUCUUGACAUCCUCUGACAACCCUAGAGAUAGGGCUUUCCCCUUCGGGGGACAGAAUGACAGGUGGGUGCAUGGUUGUCCUCAACUCGUGUCCUGAA
rnacentral:rRNA from 1 species